UUGCCCUCUCUCCGCCUCUUCUUAUAUUCUCUCCUUCCCAUUCCCUGCCAUGAGCAAUCAGAGCCAUAUACUUCCUGUUUCCGACCUCCUCCUUUUGUCUACAUCUCCCACUCAGGGAAGAUAGACAGAAGAAGAUGUCGAGGGCACCUUUUCCGGAGUUGUCGAGCUCGGUUAGGCUCAAGUAUGUUAAGCUUGGCUACCAGUGCCUUGUGAACAACUUCGUGGCCUUCUUGUUGAUCCCGGUGAUGAUAGCCGUGCCUUUGGUGCUGGUCCGGCGCGGGCCGGACGAGAUCAUGGCCUUAUGGCACUCCUUGCAGCUCGAUCUCACCCAGGUCCUCUUUUCUGUCUUCCUUUUGGUCUUCGUCGCCGCUGUCUACUUCGUGUCUCGUCCUCGGCCGGUGUACUUGGUGGACUACGCUUGCUUCAAGCCGCCGACCACCUGCCGCGUGCCUUUCGCUACGUUCAUGGAGCACGCGUGGCUCAUCAACUGGGACGAGAAGAGCGUCCAGUUCCAGACGCGCAUCCUGGAGCGCUCCGGCCUCGGCGAGGAGACCUGCCUCCCCCCGGCCAGCCACUACAUACCCCCCAAUCCCACUAUGGAGGCUUCCCGUGCCGAGGCCCAGCUCGUCAUCUUCUCCGCCAUUGACGACCUCCUCAAGAAGACCGGCCUGCGGCCCAAGAACAUCGAUAUCCUCGUAGUCAACUGCAGCCUCUUCUCGCCGACGCCAUCGCUCUCCUCGAUGAUCAUUAACAAGUACGAGCUCCGCAGCAACAUCCGCAGCUUUAAUCUCUCCGGCAUGGGCUGCAGCGCCGGGCUCAUCUCUAUCGACCUGGCCCGCGAUCUGCUUCAGGUGCACCCGAGGUCCAACGCGCUCGUCAUCUCCACCGAGAUCAUCACCCCCAACUCAUACACCGGCAACCAGCGGUCGAUGCUUCUUCCCAACUGCCUCUUCCGCAUGGGAGCCGCCGCGAUCCUCCUAUCGAACCGCCGCCGAGACGCCCGCCGCGCCAAGUACCGCCUCCUGCACGUGGUCCGCACGCACAAGGGCGCCGACGACCGCGCCUACCGCUGUGUCUACCAGGAGGAAGACGCCGAGGGCCACACGGGCAUCUCCCUCUCCAAGAACCUCAUGGCUAUCGCCGGGGAGGCGCUCAAAUCGAAUAUCACCACCAUCGGCCCGCUGGUGCUCCCCAUGUCGGAGCAGCUCCUCUUCUUCCUCACGCUGGUGGGCCGGAAGCUCAUCAACCACAAGUGGAAGCCCUACGUCCCCGACUUCAAGCUGGCGUUCGAGCACUUCUGCAUCCACGCCGGAGGGCGGGCGGUGAUCGACGAGCUGCAGAACAACCUGCAGCUGACGGCGGAGCACGUGGAGGCGUCGCGCAUGACGUUGCACCGCUUCGGCAACACCUCCUGAUAGAAAUAAUAGAAGAUAAGAACAAUAAUUGAAGAAGCUUUAUUGUAGAAAUGAAAUAGCUUUAGCUUGAAUCUAUUAACAUAUUCCCUCUCCUAUUUAUAGAGAUUAGGAGAAAGGAUUUCCCUCAACAGAAUAAACAGAAUAGAGAGAUUUCCUCAUAUAAUUGGGGAAAUCUUAUCCUCUAUCAAGUUGGGGAAAUCUUAUCUUCUAUCAUGCCCCCGCAAGAUGGUGCUCCUAACAAGGAUACCAAUCUUGGAUCGAUGCAAAGAAUGGUUUACAAGCGAGAGGCUUCAUGAAUCAGCGAAGACUACCGCGGUGAGGAAGAUGAGGAUUGACCACGGAGCCUCUUAGGAUUGCAACGGCAUUGAUCGCUAGCCGAAGGGUGAAGCUUCACUUUCCUCAGCGACGUUGGUCGCUGGCAGAAGGCAAGAGCGAGGCUUCUCUUUUCUCAACGACGUUGGUCGUGGUUGCGAUUACGACGGCUGCGACGGUAGAGAAGAAAUCUACAGCAAUGUUGCAGUGUUGCUACUAUAGCAAAGGAGGAAACUGCAACAGAGGAGGAAGCUGUAGUAGAAGAGAAAGCUGUAGCAAAAGAGGAAGGAAAAUAGCUACAACGAGGAAGAAAGAUGGGACAGUGCUGAUGAGCAGCACUAGAGAUGCCGUAGCGGAAAGGAACGGACGAUGGCGCAGAGUAGCAACACCAAUGAUGAAUUGGCAGCGAGAAGAGAGCUUGCUCUAGGCAAGCGGUCUGUAAUGGACCAUUUUACCCUUUGUUGUGCAACUAUUCAGAGCUUGUAAAGUCUGUUUGUAAUUUGCAUUGUCUAUGAAGUGUUUUUCGGACA